UACGGGGGGAGCAAGCGUUGUUCGGAUUUACUGGGCGUAAAGGGCGCGUAGGCGGCCAGCACAAGUCAGUUGUGAAAUCUCCGGGCUUAACUCGGAAAGGUCAACUGAUACUGUGCGGCUAGAGUGCAGAAGGGGCAACUGGAAUUCUCGGUGUAGCGGUGAAAUGCGUAGAGAUCGGAAAGAACACCAACGGCGAAAGCACUCUGCUGGGCCGACACUGACACUGAGAGACGAAAGCUAGGGGAGCGAAUGGG
rnacentral:rRNA from 1 species